rnacentral:rRNA from 1 species
UACGUAGGUGGCAAGCGUUGUCCGGAUUUACUGGGCGUAAAGAGCGCGCAGGCGGUCGGAUAAGUACGCAAUGUGAAAGCCCCCGGGCUCAACUGGGGAGGGUCAUUCGAUACUGUUCGACUCGAAGGCAGGAGAGGGAAGUGGAAUUCCCGGUGUAGUGGUGAAAUGCGUAGAUAUCCGGAGGAACACCAGUGGCGAAGGCGACUUUCUGGCCUGUUCUUGACGCUGAGGCGCGAAAGCUAGGGGAGCAAACGGG